AACCCCUAAAAAUGUCAUUGGAAUUAAUUAAGUUUUCCGGAUUUUACAGGCAUUUUUCAAAUGUUUCUUUACUUUCCGAUUGAACCCUAUAUACAUAUACUUCAUGCGUUAAUCAUUAUCUAUUUAAAUAGGCACUAACGUUAUUAAUAUAACUUGAUCCACACUUGGCAGAUUGAUUACACAUUAUCAAUUUGUGCCAGAGACAUACAUACAUACAUAUUGUAAAACUGGUUCAAUGUGAAUAUUUGUUGUUUAUCAAUAGGUCCUCUCAAAGCUCUAAAAAAGAUCGGAUUUUUCUGCUCAUCGCUCAUUCUGAUCUUUUCUGCUCGGCUGUGCGCAUGCGAUUUCGCUCAAAAUCAGAUUUUGUUGCUCAAGAAAAAAAAUCGAGUUUUGGGUUGAUUUUUUCUCUCAUAAUCCUGCUCAUUCUGCUCCACAUCAGCACAUCAGCUGUUUGUUUACUUUAACUUUUCGCUUAAAAAUUAAGCAAAGUUUUCUAAAAAAUAUUCUUUAUCAUUAUGGGUCCCAAGACCAAGGUUAAGAGUACCAGUGUCUUGCAAAUCCUGUAAUUUGUCGCAACAAACGUAGCGUCGUGGAGGUAGGCGGCCGAAAAACUUUUCGCUGGACACUACAAAUAAAAAUUGACAUGGCACAUUAUGUAGUCGACAUUUAUACCGCAUUUAAGGUGACCAAAUGCACUGAACUACUUCGUCGUCUCCAAGAUGCUUUGGCCCUUAACUGCGAAGAAAGUCAAAUAAAAAAUGAUUUCUUAAAACGUACACAGAGACUAAAGAAAAGUUAAUGGGUUUUGGGAUUGACCCUGAGAAAGACGAAACUCUGGACAAAAGUGCGGUCGUUUCCUCCAAUUACAUCAAAUCAAAUUAUUUUCAAUUUUCAAAGUGAAGCCGAAAUAAAAAUACUGGAAAUCAAAAUUCAAUUGGACACUCUUAAAUCUAAAUCCUAAAUAUAUGACUUAUAAAAUUGUUUAUUGCUGCUGCAUAAAUUGAAUUAUUUGAGA